CCUGGUGGUCCUUGCGAGGGGACCAUACCCGAUCCCAUUCCGAACUCGGCCGUUAAGCCCCUCAGCGCCAAUGGUACUUCGUCUCAAGACGCGGGAGAGUAGGUCGCUGCCAGGC
rnacentral:rRNA from 1 species